rnacentral:lncRNA from 1 species
CGCGUCUCCNNNNNNNNNNNNNNNCCCCCCGGGACUACACGAAGGAUCUUCCGGGACUGAGAGGUGCCACCGCCUUGGUGCGGUUCCGCCCUCACCGCGGGGGCGACCCGGCGGGUUCCUCGCGCGGAGCGGAUUCUGCAUUGGCCGCGGGCAGCUCUGGGUUUGGCCAGCAUCUGCUUUGCCCAGUGGCAGGCCCGGGGCCUUUCGGACGCUCGCUCGCGGCGCGGCCCAGCCCAGGGGAGCUGCGGCGGAGCGCUGCCGUCUGAGUGCGUCGGUGGCCGAGGGUGGGCCUCUGACCUUCCUUCGCUCCGUGUUCUGGUGCGGUGUCUUUCAUAGGGACUGCGUCGCUUUGUAUGCAUCCGUCAGAAAUAGUGGUCUGAUCAUGCCAGUCACUCCAGAAUGCGUGGAGACAAAGCAGCAAGAGUUGGCAGAAGUUAAGAGAGGAAAUAUGGCAACAGUUACUGCUUUUGGAAGACAAUGA